UAGUGCGGCGAGCGAAGCGGGAAGAGCUCAAAUUUAUAAUCUGGCACCUUCGGUGUCCGAGUUGUAAUCUCUAGAAAUGUUUUCCGCGUUGGACCGCACACAAGUCUGUUGGAAUACAGCGGCAUAGUGGUGAGACCCCCGUAUAUGGUGCGGACGCCCAGCGCUUUGUGAUACAUUUUCGAAGAGUCGAGUUGUUUGGGAAUGCAGCUCAAAUUGGGUGGUAAAUUCCAUCUAAAGCUAAAUAUUGGCGAGAGACCGAUAGCGAACAAGUACCGUGAGGGAAAGAUGAAAAGCACUUUGGAAAGAGAGUUAACAGUACGUGAAAUUGUUGGAAGGGAAACGCUUGAAGUCAGACUUGCUUGCCGAGCAAUCGGUUUGCAGGCCAGCAUCAGUUUUCCGGGAUGGAUAAUGGUAGAGAGAAGGUAGCAGUUUCGGCUGUGUUAUAGCUCUCUGCUGGAUACAUCUUGGGGGACUGAGGAACGCAGUGUGCCUUUGGCGGGGGUUUCGACCUCUUCACACUUAGGAUGCUGGUGGAAUGGCUUUAAACGACCCGUCUA
rnacentral:rRNA from 1 species